rnacentral:rRNA from 1 species
UAGAAAUGUAAAGAUUAAGGCCUAAUUAUUAAUAGUUAUGUUCUUUAAAGUUAAAGAAUUUGGCGGUAUUUUAGUCUAUUUAGAGGAAUCUGUUCUUUAAUCGAUAGUCCACGAUUUAUUAUACUUGUUUUGAUUAGUUUAUAUAUCGUCGUAGUUUGAAUAUUUUAUAAGAAUUAUAAUGUUCAGGGUCCUUUAUUAGGGAGGAAAUCAGAUCAAGGUGUAGCUUAUAGACAAGAAGAAAUGGAUUACAAUAAAAUUAUUUAUAUGGGUUAAGAUUUUGAAAAAUUCUUAAUAAAGUGGAUUUAAAAGUAAUAGAAUUAAAAUUUUUUCUAUGAUUUUAGCUCUAAAAUAUGU